rnacentral:lncRNA from 1 species
UGAACCCCUUUGGCAGGUUACCAUUUCUGGGGUAUUCAAAUCACUUACAAAAUCAUUAUUUUGAAGAAUCCAAAGAGAAAAUGGAAUUCGUCCAAAACAACACUACAUUAGUCUAUUACAAUCGUUACAUUAUACUACAGCCCAAAUAAGCCUACUACUGCCUACAAUUACAAUACAUAAUAUGCUACUCUUUGCUGAUAUGCUUCACAGCUUCGGACUUGGAUUCGCACUUCACCUGUGCAAAAAAUAAGAAUGAGCAUAUAAGAAUAAGAAUGUGUCGAGAACAUCAAACAAUGGUCAAUGAGGGAUCCAAUAACUUAGAGGCAAGAAUUGACAGCAAAUGAAAUGUACAUAAAUAGUAUGACUAACAUUAAUUAGUAUGUGUUUAUGGAGCGGCUAAAAUGUUCUCAAACUAGCUAGGAUUUUUUUAUGUACAGUAUACUGACAUGUGAAACAGAAGCAAUCAAGAUUCAGAUUUAAAGAGACGGUAUGUGACAGAAAUGUUCAUAGUUUAAGCUACAAGAGCCUGCCAGAAGGAUAAAAUCAAAUGAAUAAGAACUCCGCAUAUAUAACCAAAGAGGUUGAACAAUGAUUCUACAAAGUAACAUUCCACUUCUCCGGUCCCAAGGAGACCAGUAAACUCAUUGCGCGCAGUUGCAAAAGCACAUUAUGCAACAACAACAGAGCAUCAGUGUGUGUGUGUGCCGCGGUAACCUACAGAUCCUACUAAGCGAAGGUUCGAACUGGAUCAAGCAUAUGAGCUACUACAAUAAGAGCUGCUACAAUAAGAGGUCCAUAUGCAUGCAUGAGCACUUCUUAAUAUUUAUAUUCAUCAUCACAACAACCUAUAACCACCUAUGCUCAUUGUUACAAAUAUAUGCAUACUUCAAAAAAACCUAUCUAUUUGAAACCAUAAUAUAUUUCUUUCUCAAAUCUGAAUUCAUUGGUUUCUCCUCCAAACUAUUGAAAUAUCACGCCUCUUAUUCGCUAGUUUCUUAGGCAACAACAUCAGUGCAAAUUUUGAUGAAAUGCAUAGGUCCAACCGAUGACUACACAACAGCAACUACUUCAAACAUUGGUUGGAGAAAUGCUCAUCAUUUAUUUAUUUAUUGUAAAAGAAAUUUUGAAUUAAACAGUAGCAUUAACUUGUCCUUCACCUAUGUAUGCAUUAGAGAGAGAUAGUAGGGAAGGAGGAAUUAUGGACCAACUUG